rnacentral:piRNA from 1 species
GGAAACAGAGGUGACGUUAUGAU